rnacentral:misc_RNA from 1 species
AAGUCGUAACAAGGUUUCCGUAGGUGAACCUGCGGAAGGAUCAUUAUUGAAAAAAUAACAUCCACACCUCUGUGCACCCAUUCUAUAUAUAUGGGCUAGUCAAAUUUUCCUGGUUUAGUUAUCAGGAAAACUAGACUUUUCCAUUAUUUUACAUAUGCGUUUGAAAAUUAUUUUCUGUAAAAAGGAAAUGUAUGACAAACAAAAAACAACUUUCAGCAACGGAUCUCUUGGCUCUC